UGUUCAAUAGUUCUUCUUUCUUUCGUUUGGGGUUAUUUCUAUUUUCAAUUUACCAAACGUCGUGUUGGACUAAGAUGAGCGAGCAAA